rnacentral:miRNA from 1 species
AUUCAGAAUCAAUUGUAGUAG